rnacentral:lncRNA from 1 species
AUAAUCCGCAGCAAAGCUGCUUAUAUCAGAAUAUGUGGCACAGCCACCAGAACGGGUUCUUCCUCCAUAACAUAACCCAGAUCCCAUGCAACAGAUAUACAUGUCAUGGCAUACAACAAACAGAAUCAGAAUAUCAUGCAUUUCAGUCAAAAUUAACCCUAGGGGUAUAACAGUCAUUUUGCACCUAGGGGUAAAAUGGUAAUUUUCAUACUUAGGGGUAUUUUAGUAAAAUUCACUAUUUUAGGGUUUACAUACAUCCUACAACCGUUAACGCAUCAACAGAAACACUUACCGAGCGUCUUUACUGAAUUGGGCCC